CCUACGGGAGGCAGCAGUGAGGAAUAUUGGUCAAUGGGCUUACGCCUGAACCAGCCAAGUCGCGUGAGGGAAGACUGCCCUAUGGGUUGUAAACCUCUUUUGUCAGGGAGCAAUUGGCGCUACGUGUAGCGUUAUCGAGAGUAUCUGAAGAAAAAGCAUCGGCUAACUCCGUGCCAGCAGCCGCGGUAAUACGGAGGAUGCGAGCGUUAUCCGGAUUUAUUGGGUUUAAAGGGUGCGUAGGCGGAAUGCCAAGUCAGCGGGAAAAUCGCGGGGCUCAACCUCGCUCCGCCAUUGAAACUGGCGUUCUUGAGUGGGCGAGAAGUAUGCGGAAUGCGUGGUGUAGCGGUGAAAUGCAUAGAUAUCACGCAGAACUCCGAUUGCGAAGGCAGCAUACCGGCGCCCAACUGACGCUGAAGCACGAAAGCGUGGGUAUCGAACAGGAUUAGAUACCCCAGUAGUC
rnacentral:rRNA from 1 species